GGACGGCUAGCUCAGUUGGUUAGAGCAUCUCGUUUACACCGAGAGGGUCAGGGGUUCGAGUCCCUUGCCGUCCACCA
rnacentral:tRNA from 2 species